GAGCCUAUUGCCAGUCGUGUGCAUAGAGAGCUGAUGAAAGAGGGGGUAAUGCCCACUUGUAGCAUCAUUUUUCGAUCCAGUCAUACGGACAAGAAAGGCAGACCGAUGACGCCACGAUCAAAAAGAUUUUUCUAGAUGUGCUUGCGA